rnacentral:rRNA from 1 species
UACGGAGGGUGCGAGCGUUGUCCGGAAUCACUGGGCGUAAAGGGCGCGUAGGCGGCCUGAUAAGUAGGGGGUGAAAUCCUGCGGCUUAACCGCAGGGCUGCCUUCUAAACUGUCAGGCUCGAGCACAGUAGAGGCAGGUGGAAUUCCCGGUGUAGCGGUGGAAUGCGUAGAGAUCGGCAGGAACACCCAGGGGGAAACCAGUCGACUGGGCAUCUACUGACGCUGAGGUGCGAGAGCGUGGGGAGCGAACCGG